CACCGCGGUUAUACGAGAGACCCUAGUUGAUAAUUAUCGGCGUAAAGAGUGGUUAAGAAACUUAAAUUAAUAAAGCCAAACACCCUCUUAGCCGUUAUACGCAUUUGAGAGCAUGAGACCCACCCGCGAAAGCAGCUUUAUCCCCCCGAACCCACGAAAGCUAUGGCA
rnacentral:rRNA from 1 species